GGGGAUACACUUUGGAAACAGGUGCUAAUACCGCAUAACCAUAGUUACCGCAUGGUAGCUAUGUAAAAGGUGGCUAUGCUACCGCUUUUGGAUGGGCCCGCGGCGCAUUAGCUAGUUGGUGGGGUAAAGGCUUACCAAGGCAAUGAUGCGUAGCCGAACUGAGAGGUUGAUCGGCCACAUUGGGACUGAGACACGGCCCAAACUCCUACGGGAGGCAGCAGUAGGGAAUCUUCCACAAUGGGCGAAAGCCUGAUGGAGCAACGCCGCGUGGGUGAAGAAGGUCUUCGGAUCGUAAAACCCUGUUGUUAGAGAAGAAAGUGCGUGAGAGUAACUGUUCACGUUUCGACGGUAUCUAACCAGAAAGCCACGGCUAACUACGUGCCAGCAGCCGCGGUAAUACGUAGGUGGCAAGCGUUAUCCGGAUUUAUUGGGCGUAAAGGGAACGCAGGCGGUCUUUUAAGUCUGAUGUGAAAGCCUUCGGCUUAACCGGAGUAGUGCAUUGGAAACUGGGAGACUUGAGUGCAGAAGAGGAGAGUGGAACUCCAUGUGUAGCGGUGAAAUGCGUAGAUAUAUGGAAGAACACCAGUGGCGAAAGCGGCUCUCUGGUCUGUAACUGACGCUGAGGUUCGAAAGCGUGGGUAGCAAACAGGAUUAGAUACCCUGGUAGUCCACGCCGUAAACGAUGAAUGCUA
rnacentral:rRNA from 1 species